rnacentral:rRNA from 1 species
UACGAAGGGGGCUAGCGUUGCUCGGAAUCACUGGGCGUAAAGGGUGCGUAGGCGGGUUGGUAAGUCCGUGGUGAAAUCUCCGAGCUUAACUCGGAAACUGCCGUGGAUACUAUCAAUCUUGAAUAUCGUGGAGGUAAGCGGAGUAUGUCAUGUAGCGGUGAAAUGCUUAGAGAUGACAUAGAACACCAAUUGCGUAGGCAGCUUACUACACGAUCAUUGACGCUGAGGCACGAAAGCGUGGGGAUCAAACAGG